GACGAACGCUGGCGGCGUGCUUAACACAUGCAAGUCGAACGGAAAGGCCCUGCUUGCGUGGGGUGCUCGAGUGGCGAACGGGUGAGUAACACGUGAGUAACCUGCCCUUGACUUUGGGAUAACUUCAGGAAACUGGGGCUAAUACCGGAUAGCAGCUCCUGCUGCAUGGUGGGGGUUGGAAAGUUUCGGCGGUUGGGGAUGGACUCGCGGCUUAUCAGCUUGUUGGUGGGGUAGUGGCUUACCAAGGCUUUGACGGGUAGCCGGCCUGAGAGUGGGAACAGCCACAUUACGACUGAGAUACGGCCCAGACUCGAACAGGGGGCAGUAGUGGGAAAUAUUACACAAUGGGCGGAAGCCUGUUGAAGAAGCGCCGGGUGCGGGAUGACGGCCUUCGGGUUGUAAACCGCUUUCGCCUGUGACGAAGCGUGAGUGACGGUAAUGGGUAAAGAAGCACCGGCUAACUACGUG
rnacentral:rRNA from 1 species